AUAUUUACAACAUCCAGAAAGAGUCUACACUACAUUUGGUGCUGAGGCUGAGAGGUGGGAUCAUUGAGCCCUCGCUUAUGGCUCUUGCCCGGAAGUACAACCAGGACAAGAUGAUCUGUAGAAAAUGCUAUGCGCGGUUACACCCGCGAGCUGUUAAUUGUCGUAAGAAGAAAUGCGGCCACAGCAAUCAGAUCAAAUAUAUUUUCCUUUUCUCCAGCUGAGACCUAAGAAGAAGAUCAAGUGAAAUAGUUCUCUGAUCGAGCUUUAUUUUUCGGUGCCUAAUAGGGGAAGAAUUUAUUGUUAUUAUCUUUUGCUGCGGCUUUUCUUCGCCUCCCCCCUGUUCUGAACAUUUUUGACUUGUGUUACUGCUGAACCGUUGUUAUGCUCUUUGGUCUUAUCAAGUCGUUUCUGAGCUUAUAUCUGACAAGUUGUAUUUUCAUCGAGAGCAAGCUAAAGUACCUUUUUGUGUUUUGUUU